UAUGAUUAAAUGUUUUCAAUAGUAUAAAAGUUGCUGCUCUCUGGUUUGAAUGGUAUAUGAGUUCUCUAGAACAUGUGGAACCGACUAACAUUAACAAGAUCUGCACCAAAAACCUUCAUCUCUCUACAGAACCUGUGAGGAACCUGUGAAGAUUAUGAAGUUCCCCAUACUGUUCACCUGCUGAUAUCUAAUCAGCUCAGUGACAGCUGGAAUUAGAUCAUCUUUUAGAAAUAUCUGCACACACACACACACACACACACACACACACACACACACACACACACACACACACACACACACACACACACAGUGUAGAUGUGAAAUGAGAGAUGGGACCUAUGAGGUCUUUGUCUACACCUGGUGGUAACAUAAGGAACUGCAAAUGUAACCCACAAACCCAGAACAUCAGUAACAACCUCCAUAUUUACAGCAUGAAGCAGAAACUCAUCCCUUAGUGAUGCUGCAUGUGUGUACAGUGAGCUGGGAUUCUCUUCUAGAUUAGAAGAGGAACUAUUUUAUUAUGUAAAACAGGCCAGUAAAGAGAAGAUGUUGGAAUAUUAAUCUCGAUAAGUAAAUCAGAAGCGUAAACAAAAGUCUGGAGGGAAAUUAUAGUAAAGGGGCAGAGAAGUUGUGAUGAAGAGGAGAAAGGGAGAUAGACGCUCAUACUCAUUCAAAAGUGAGUAACUUGAGUCAUUUUGUUGAUUAGUGCUGAUUUGAGACGCGAACUGUUUUAAACGAUUUGGUGAACCGGUUCGACCGGUUCACUAAAAAGAACCGGUUCAAAUGAACGAUUCGUUCACGAACCGGACAUCACUACUAAGAAGAAGAGGAAGAGGCGGUCUUUCUGACACCUGUGUGGACUACAGAUUGUAAUUCGAACACAAUCCAGUGAUCAGCACGUGUUUCCAGCACCGCUCUGAAUCAUGUAAUAAUCCUCCUCUUUUACACAAGUUAAAUAAACAUCGUGUUCCAGAAA